rfam:Pseudomonas fluorescens HK44 Contig4, whole genome shotgun sequence.
CCGGUUGUUCCAUCAACCGUUCCCUACCCAGACAUGCGGAGCCGGUAACAGCUCGGUGUGAAGCUCUGGGGACAAUGUAACCGCCGAUCUAUUCGGUACGCCAACCCGUGAGGGUAAGCAGAAUCUGCGAGCACAAACGCGGUGAGGGG